rnacentral:rRNA from 1 species
GGCUCAGGAUAAACGCGGGCGGCGUGCCUAAUACAUGCAAGUCGAACGAAGGUUUUGUAGCAAUACGGAACCUUAGUGGCGAAUGGGUGAGUAACGCGUUGGUGACCUGCCCCGAAGUGGGGAAUAACAGUUCGAAAGGACUGCUAAUACCUCAUGUGGUCACGAGGGUUGAAUACUUUGUGUCUAAAGGAGCAAUCCGCUUCGGGAGGGACCUGCGUCCCAUCAGCUAGUUGGUAGGCUAAUGGCCUACCAAGGCUACGACGGGUAGGGGGCCUGAGAGGGUGGCCCCCCACACUGGCACUGAAACACGGGCCAGACACCUACGGGUGGCAGCAGUAGGGAAUAUUGCACAAUGGGCGAAAGCCUGAUGCAGCAACGCCGCGUGUACGAUGAAGGCCUUCGGGUCGUAAAGUACUUUUUGAGGAGAUGAGGAAGGACAGUAUCCUCAGAAUAAGGAUCGGCUAACUACGUGCCAGCAGCCGCGGUAAAACGUAGGAUCCGAGCGUUAUCCGAAUUUACUGGGCGUAAAGCGCGUGCAGGCGGUUUGGUAAGUUGGAUGUGAAAGCUCCUGGCUCAACUGGGAGAGGCCGUUCAAAACUACCAGACUUGAGGGCGGUAGAGGGAGGUGGAAUUCCCGGUGUAGUGGUGAAAUGCGUAGAUAUCGGGAGGAACACCUGUGGCGAAAGCGGCCUCCUGGACCGUUCCUGACGCUCAGACGCGAAAGCUAGGGGAGCGAACGGGAUUAGAAACCCCGGUAGUCCUAGCCGUAAACGAUGCAGACUUGGCGUCGGUGGGGUAAAAGCCAUCGGUGCCGAAGCUAACGCGUUAAGUCUGCCGCCUGGGGACUACGG